GAAAAUUAGUUCAUGGAUUGCCUCCACUUCGGUAAAUACGAAACCUUUUUCAGAGAUUAUUUGGNNNNNNNNNNACUUCGGUAAAUACGAAACCUUUUUCAGAGAUUAUUUGGACCACGCAGUCAACAUUCAUCACUAUCAAAGUGCCCUAAACAACGAGCUAUUCGACAUUAGAAUAAUGGAGCGGAAAGCACAUUUACAAAAUAAACUUUUGACUUUAUUGGUAAACGAACCGGAUGCGCGCCUAAUCAAAAUUUGAUCUCAAUCACCCUGGGCCAUAAGACCAGAAGCCUUGGAGUUUAUAGAAAACAACAUGAAUAGUUUCAAUCUUCAUGAUCCCCGCUCUCAUUAUGACAAAGUUUUAGUAGAGCAGACCCUUCGGUACUGUAUCCAAGAUGCACAACGAAACGGUCAUCGCUCAGCUAUAUAUAGAAUUCCUCCGGCAUUUCCUUGGCGGAUAACUAGANNNNNNNNNNCAGCUAUAUAUAGAAUUCCUCCGGCAUUUCCUUGGCGGAUAACUAGAAGUGAAAUCUCAUUUUCCAUGUUAUCUUAUAAGUCCUUUCUUGUCGCAGUUGCUUACUUUCUUCGACUAUUCUGUACCUCUCUCGAUUAAAGACAUUCGGGAGCUGGCUUGGCUUGAUGGCAUAAUGUUUUUGGCUAGAGAAAAGGAGCCUUUCGCUGUAAGAGCGCUGGCCCUUGUCAUGGUGAGUUUGGUUGCUUCCAUAAAAAGGGGAAGUGGAGUGGUGAGGCGGGCCCCUUCAUUAAUGAUUAUUAAUGAUUAGGCAGAGAAUAAUUUCAUUNNNNNNNNNNCUUCAUUAAUGAUUAUUAAUGAUUAGGCAGAGAAUAAUUUCAUUUUUUAGUUUGGUGCUAAGAUACAAAGGUAAAUGAGUUGUUUAAUAGGUUUUAUGACAGUGAAACAAAAUGAAGG
rnacentral:lncRNA from 1 species